rnacentral:lncRNA from 10 species
AGUCUUCUGUGUGGGUAUGGUGGGAUAACAGUGGAGCCCCAAGGAUGUGCAGAUGCAGGGGUAAUUGGCCCCCUGGGCAGGAUGCUGUCUGGUAGGGGCUCCAUCCUCAAAAUGGUGUUAUACUACAGCAUCCUGGGUCCUAGGAAGUAAGAGGGCCAAGUGUGUAUUCUAUCUUUACGGUAAUAUAGUCACCUGGACUCCAGGAACCUCCCUCCACUGGACUCAGGGCCUGUGAGGAUAGUAGGGCUCUUCUGCAGCCUAGAAUUACAGGCUUCCAUGGUGGGAUGUGAAUGGCUGGGGAUCUCCCACUCACCCAUUUGUCACAUUGGGAAUGCUUGGUUCUAAAUAGAUCCUGGCCAGGUACUUUGCUUCCCUCUUUUUGCUGCCAUCCUGAGUUUCCAUGCCUCAGGGGGUCUUUGUCACUUCAUCAUUAAAUUCCAUUGUUCUCCCCUAGAGACUUUGUUCAACUUGCAGUUAUCUAUUCAUACUUGUUAUUUUUGUUCUUCUUUGUAGAGGAGACACAUGCUAGGUGCCUCUAGUCAGCGAUCUUGAUGACAUCUUUGUUUUGGACUUCUAAUGACAUGAUGAAGAAAGUGAAAAACAAGCCACAGAUGAGUGGGCACGUUGGGCCAAGCACUGUUCUAGACAUAAAUAUUUCAUAGAGAUUCAUCAACACAAGUUGCAAUAAAACACGAAAAAGAUUGAUGUAAUGUUUCUGUGAUAGGCAGCCUCUAAGAUGAUCUACAGAUCUCUACUUCUUGAUAUUCAUCAUCUUACUGUAGGCUGGUCCACCUAGCAUCUCUAAGCAGGAUACUGAAAAAAAGUAUCGAAUGAGCUGCCGCUUCUGAGAUUAUGUUAUGAGCUACUGUGUCUUCCAGUUAGCUCACCCCUCUCUUGCUUACUCAAUCUGUGGUAAACCAGCUGUCAUUGCUGCCUUCUGCCCUAUAUGGAGGCACAAAAAAGAAGGAAUGGAGGGAGGCACCCAGCCAAGAGCCAGUGAGGACCGGAGACCUGCCAGCAGCCACACGAGUGAGGCUGGAAGCACAUCUGCCUCCAAUUUAGUCUUGAAAUAACUGCAGCCUCAGCAGACACCUAAAUUGCAGCCUUGUGAAAGACUCUCAGCCAGGGGCUCCCAGCUAAGCUGUGUAUGAGUUUUUGAACUAUAGAGACUGUGAGAGACUACAUUUUUGCUGUUUGUCUCUAGGUUUUGGGGUAAUUAGUUAAGCAGAAAUGAACAGAGUUGCUAAUAGAAAUAAUACAGUGGUUUUACUUUGGAAGAAAUAUAUUUUAAUCUAAGAUCAAGUCCUUUCUCUGAUUUGGGUGUUAAAAUGGCUUAUAUUUUUUGAUAUUAGAGUGACAAUAUAUUCUCUCUUUCUUUAAGCCUAUAGUUAGUAAAAUAAGUAUAUUUGAGUCCCACAGAAUUUUUAAAAAUGGUUUUCCAAUUAAUAAAAUCAAAAGUUUGACAAUAAGUUUUAAAUUAUUCCCAUAUCAUUUACAUUCUUCUAUGAUCAUUAUUUUGUGUAAAAUGCUAUAAAUAUUUUUUUAUGUUUGUUUUCUCUAAAUAAACUGUGAGUUUCUAAAGUAUAAGAAUUAUGUGUUAUUCAUA